rnacentral:rRNA from 1 species
ACGGGAGGCAGCAGUCGGGAAUAUUGCGCAAUGGAGGAAACUCUGACGCAGUGACGCCGCGUAUAGGAAGAAGGUUUUCGGAUUGUAAACUAUUGUCGUUAGGGAAGAUUAAAGACUGUACCUAAGGAGGAAGCCCCGGCUAACUAUGUGCCAGCAGCCGCGGUAAUACAUAGGGGGCAAGCGUUAUCCGGAAUUAUUGGGUGUAAAGGGUGCGUAGACGGAGAUACAGGUUGGUUGUGAAAUCCCUCGGCUCAACUGAGGAACUGCAACCAAAACUAUAUCCCUUGAGUGUCGGAGGGGAAAGUGGAAUUCCUAGUGUAGCGGUGAAAUGCGUAGAUAUUAGGAGGAGCACCAGUGGCGAAGGCGGCUUACUGGACGGUAACUGACGUUGAGGCUCGAAAGCGUGGGGAGCAAACAGGAUUAGAUACCCUGGUA